CGAGUUUGAUCAUUGCUCAGAACGAACGCUGGCGGCAGGCUUAAUACAUGCAAGUCGAACGGCUGUAGCAAUACAGCAGUGGCAGACGGGUGAGUAACACGUGGGAACCUACCUAGGGGUACGGAAUAACUCAGGGAAACUUGUGCUAAUACCGUAUACGACCUCAGGGUGAAAGAUUUAUCGCCCCUAGAUGGGCCCGCGCUGGAUUAGCUAGUUGGUGGGGUAAAAGCCUACCAAGGCGACGAUCCAUAGCUGGUCUGAGAGGAUGGUCAGCCACACUGGGACUGAGACACGGCCCAGACUCCUACGGGAGGCAGCAGUAGGGAAUCUUGGACAAUGGGCGAAAGCCUGAUCCAGCCAUGCCGCGUGAGUGAUGAAGGCCUUAGGGUUGUAAAGCUCUUUCGCCAGGGAAGAUAAUGACGGUACCUGGAUAAGAAGCCCCGGCUAACUUCGUGCCAGCAGCCGCGGUAAUACGAAGGGGGCUAGCGUCGUUCGGAAUUACUGGGCGUAAAGCGCACGUAGGCGGCAUUCCAACUUGGAGGUGAAAUCCCCGGGCUUACCCUGGGA
rnacentral:rRNA from 1 species